CAAAUACUCCCUCCGUUUGGAAAUACUUGUCAUCAAAAUGGAUAAAAGGAAAUGUACCUAGACGUAUUUUAGUUUUAGAUACAUCUCUUUUUAUCCAUUUUGAUGACAAGUAUUUUCGGACGGAGGGAGUAGAAA
rfam:Triticum aestivum genome assembly, contig: Triticum_aestivum_CS42_TGACv1_scaffold_114185_2AS